rnacentral:rRNA from 1 species
UAGGGAAUCUUGGGCAAUGGGCGCAAGCCUGACCCAGCCAUGCCGCGUGUGUGAAGAAGGCCUUCGGGUUGUAAAGCACUUUCAGUAGCGAAGAAAAGCACGAGGUUAAUACCCUCGUGUCAUGACGUUAGCUACAGAAGAAGGUCCGGCUAACUCCGUGCCAGCAGCCGCGGUAAUACGGAGGGAUCGAACGUUAAUCGGAAUUACUGGGCGUAAAGCGCGCGUAGGCGGUUCGGUAAGUGGGAUGUGAAAUCCCCGGGCUCAACCUGGGAACUGCAUUCCAAACUGCCGAGCUAGAGUCUGGUAGAGGGAGGUAGAAUUUCCUGUGUAGCGGUGAAAUGCGUAGAUAUAGGAAGGAAUACCGAUGGCGAAGGCAGCCUCCUGGACCAAUACUGACGCUGAGGUGCGAAAGCGUGGGGAGCAAACAGGAUUAGAUACCCCCGUAGUCC